UACGAAGGGGGCUAGCGUUGCUCGGAAUCACUGGGCGUAAAGGGUGCGUAGGCGGGUUUUUAAGUCAGGGGUGAAAUCCUGGAGCUCAACUCCAGAACUGCCUUUGAUACUGAAGAUCUUGAGUCCGGGAGAGGUGAGUGGAACUGCGAGUGUAGAGGUGAAAUGCGCAGAUAUCGGGAAGAACACCCGUGGCGAAAGCGGCUCUCUGGGACGGUACUGACGCUGAGACACGAAGGCCAGGGGAGCAAAGCGGG
rnacentral:rRNA from 1 species